CCUACGGGAGGCAGCAGUGAGGAAUAUUGGUCAAUGGGCGCGAGCCUGAACCAGCCAAGCAGCGUGAAGGAUGACUGCCCUACGGGUUGUAAACUUCUUUUAUAAAGGAAUAAAGUGAGGCACGUGUGCCUUUUUGUAUGUACGUUAUGAAGCAGGAUCGGCUAAGUCCGUGCCAGCAGCCGCGGUAAUACGGAGGAUCCGAGCGUUAUCCGGAUUGAUUGGGUUUAAAGGGAGCGUAGAGGGGUUGUUAAGUCAGUUGUGAAAGUUUGCAGCUCAACCGUAAAAUUGCAGUUGAAACUGGCAGUCUUGAGUACAGUAGAGGUGGGUGGAAUUCGUGGUGUAGCGGUAAAAUGCUUAGAUAUCACGAAGAACUCCGAUGGCGAAGGCAGCUCACUGGACUGCAACUGACACUGAUGCUCGAAAGUGUGGGUAUCAAACAGGAUUAGAUAUCCCAGUAGUC
rnacentral:rRNA from 1 species